CGGGUGGUAAUGCCGGAUGCUCCAUCACACCGCAUGGUGUGUUGGGAAAGCCUUUGCGGCAUGGGAUGGGGUCGCGUCCUAUCAGCUUGAUGGCGGGGUAACGGCCCACCAUGGCUUCGACGGGUAGCCGGCCUGAGAGGGCGACCGGCCACAUUGGGACUGAGAUACGGCCCAGACUCCUACGGGAGGCAGCAGUGGGGAAUAUUGCACAAUGGGCGCAAGCCUGAUGCAGCGACGCCGCGUGAGGGAUGGAGGCCUUCGGGUUGUAAACCUCUUUUGUUAGGGAGCAAGGCAUUUUGUGUUGAGUGUACCUUUCGAAUAAGCACCGGCUAACUACGUGCCAGCAGCCGCGGUAAUACGUAGGGUGCAAGCGUUAUCCGGAAUUAUUGGGCGUAAAGGGCUCGUAGGCGGUUCGUCGCGUCCGGUGUGAAAGUCCAUCGCUUAACGGUGGAUCCGCGCCGGGUACGGGCGGGCUUGAGUGCGGUAGGGGAGACUGGAAUUCCCGGUGUAACGGUGGAAUGUGUAGAUAUCGGAAAGAACACCA
rnacentral:rRNA from 1 species